rnacentral:tRNA from 1 species
GGAAGAGCAAGCCAAUUGGAGAUGGCACCCGACUGCUAAUCGGACGAGUUCAGAAAUGGGCCUUGCGAGUUCGACUCUCGUCUC